AACGCUAGCUACAGGCUUAACACAUGCAAGUCGCGGGGCAGCAUUUUUCUAGCUUGCUAGGGAAGAUGGCGACCGGCGCACGGGUGAGUAACGCGUAUCCAACCUUCCCAUGUCCACGGGAUAGCCCGUCGAAAGGCGGAUUAAUACCGUAUGCUGUCAUUAAGAGGCAUUUUUUGAUGACGAAAGGAUUGGCGGUAUGGGAUGGGGAUGCGUCUGAUUAGCUUGUUGGCGGGGUAACGGCCCACCAAGGCGACGAUCAGUAGGGGUUCUGAGAGGAAGGUCCCCCACAUUGGAACUGAGACACGGUCCAAACUCCUACGGGAGGCAGCAGUGAGGAAUAUUGGUCAAUGGGCGCAAGCCUGAACCAGCCAAGUAGCGUGAGGGAAGACUGCCCUACGGGUUGUAAACCUCUUUUGUUUGGGAAUAAAGUGCGGGACGUGUCCCGCAUUGCAUGUACCAUUUGAAUAAGGACCGGCUAAUUCCGUGCCAGCAGCCGCGGUAAUACGGAAGGUCCGGGCGUUAUCCGGAUUUAUUGGGUUUAAAGGGAGCGCAGGCCGUGGGUUAAGCGUGUCGUGAAAUUCCGUCGCUCAACGGCGGACGUGCGGCGCGAACUGGUCCACUUGAGUACGCGGGACGUUGGCGGAAUUCGUGGUGUAGCGGUGAAAUGCUUAGAUAUCACGAAGAACUCCGAUUG
rnacentral:rRNA from 1 species